AGGACGAACGCUGGCGGCGUGCUUAACACAUGCAAGUCGAGCGAGGUCCACUCGGUGGCAACACCGGGGAAGACCGAGCGGCGAACGGGUGAGUAACACGUGAGCAACCUGCCCCGAAGACCGGGAUAACAUCGGGAAACCGGUGCUAAUACCGGAUGCCCUCAGUGGACCGCAUGGUUCGUUGAGGAAAAGGAUUCCGCUUCGGGAGGGGCUCGCGGGCUAUCAGCUUGUUGGUGGGGUAACGGCCCACCAAGGCUACGACGGCUAGCUGGUCUGAGAGGACGACCAGCCACACUGGGACUGAGACACGGCCCAGACUCCUACGGGAGGCAGCAGUGGGGAAUCUUGCGCAAUGGGCGAAAGCCUGAUCCAGCCAUGCCGCGUGAGUGAAGAAGGCCUUAGGGUUGUAAAGCUCUUUUGGCAGGGACGAUAAUGACGGUACCUGCAGAAUAAGCCCGGCAAACUUCGUGCCAGCAGCCGC
rnacentral:rRNA from 1 species